UAUGUAAUCCAACAUUUCGUCGCUUUUUUUCUUUUAUUUCUUGUUUCUUUUUCAAAUUUUAAAGGGAAUGUUCUCAUUGUACGUUUUGUGAAGUUUAGUAUUCAAUAAUAUUAAGACUCCUAAUUAUCGAAGAAAACCGUUCAUUGUGUUGGCACUGAAGUUUGUUUCUUUCGUAGAGCUACAUAUUUGAAAUUACCUACGGUAACGAUUUCUAUUUAUACAGUUUCUGAAAUUCCGCUAACAAUUGAAUCCAAUGACAGAGAAAUUAAAAACGAAAAUUUAAAUUCUGACAAAGAAUACUUUUCGAAUAUGGCGUCAAAACUUCUAAGACAUCUGUGGUGAAUACAGCAGAGGAAAUGGUGAAUGGAAAACAUUAUAUCAUAAUGCAGAAUUAUUAUUGGGACUGUGGCGUUUCUUUGUACAGAAACUAUGAUAAUCGUAACUAGAAAAUCGUCAUCAAGUAGAGUGGUAAAUAAUUCUCCGACCGCAACAUUACAAAUGUUGUGUCACAGACGAAUAAAAAUUCUAUGGAAGGAUAUGACACACAUGCAUCAACCUAACUACAAAAGUUAGAAAGAACGAGAGAGCUUAUAUGUUCUCAGCCACAACACAGUGAAUUUAUACCCAGUGCAGGAUUGUAUACGGUUUUGCUAUCAGAGCAAGUAAUAACCUAUUUAAUAUUACUAACCAAUGCAUUCGAAAAUAGAAGUCAUUUUCUGAACACUUUCCGCGCCAAAUGUUCUGCAGGAUAAAACUUACUGUGUCUAUCAAUUUAAAUCGGAACGAAAACCAUUGAAGGCAAAUCGUUGAAAGCCUCAUUAAUAUCAGUAAUGCAUAGAGAGGAAGGUGAUGUUCUGUAAUAUAUAAUCAUUGUAUAGCUUUGUCUUGGAAACCUAAACGAAAGUCUUAGAUUUUCCAUUUCUGUUUGGAGAAGUUACAAUUUAGCCAUAAACAACACUACCGGAUUAAGUAUCCUAUAGUAUCCUACCACAAAAUAAAACAAGAUUUUGACAGUGAAA